GUAGGGGGGGCGAGCGUUGUCCGGAUUUAUUGGGCGUAAAGAGCUCGUAGGGCGGCUUGGCAGUCGGGCCGUGAAAGUCCGAGGCUCAACCUCGGAACGCCGGUCGAAACUGCCAUGGCUAGGGUCCGGUAGAGGAGAGUGGAAUUCCCGGUGUAGCGGUGAGAUGCGCAGAUAUCGGGAGGAACACCAGUAGCGAAGGCGGCUCUCCGGGCCGGUACCGACGCUGAGGAGCGAAAGCGUGGGGAGCAAACAGGAUUAGAUACCCUGGUAGUCCACGCCGUAAACGUUGGGCACUAGGUGUGGCGAGUUAUACCAACGCUUGCUGUGCCGUAGCUAACGCAUUAAGUGCCCCGCCUGGGGAGUACGGUCGCAAGGCUA
rnacentral:rRNA from 1 species